GUGAGAGCUUCGCAUCCCUGAUUUAGCAGGCGGACGGGUGAGUAAUGCCUAGGAAUCUGCCUGGUAGUGGGGGAUAACGUUCCGAAAGGAACGCUAAUACCGCAUACGUCCUACGGGAGAAAGCAGGGGACCUUCGGGCCUUGCGCUAUCAGAUGAGCCUAGGUCGGAUUAGCUAGUUGGUGAGGUAAUGGCUCACCAAGGCGACGAUCCGUAACUGGUCUGAGAGGAUGAUCAGUCACACUGGAACUGAGACACGGUCCAGACUCCUACGGGAGGCAGCAGUGGGGAAUAUUGGACAAUGGGCGAAAGCCUGAUCCAGCCAUGCCGCGUGUGUGAAGAAGGUCUUCGGAUUGUAAAGCACUUUAAGUUGGGAGGAAGGGCAGUAAGCUAAUACCUUGCUGUUUUGACGUUACCGAAGAGAUAAGGGC
rnacentral:rRNA from 1 species